CAAGGGUCCACAUGGGGUCUACCACUCUCUGGGGUUUCUACUUUCUGGGGGUACAGAAAGUAGAAACAUGACUCAGAGUUCCUGCCUCAUGGAGUGUGGGUCUGGGAGUUUCCAGGAACACAUCAAGGAAGAAGCAAGACUCACUACUAUACAACACAGGUGUCAUGUCCCAACACCCAUGCAGCUCAUCUGCAGAUCCCAGAAGAGCCAAGAGGUUCUGAGGGCACCCUUAAUGAGACAAGGCACCUGAUGACACCUUCCCUUUAUACCUGGGUGUGUUACAGAAAGCAAGCUGUUCUGCGGCACCAGAACAUAUGAAAAGGAAGCGCAGUUUUCCACACACAGUCGCUUCCCGUUUCAGACCCCCAUGACUGCAGAGUUCCAGAAAGUAAACACUGUAGAUCCAAGCGGAGUGCCAGAUGGUGGGCUGAAGUAGAACCGGCUCACAGAGGCUGGAACACACAGGGCUGGGAGCUCCU
rnacentral:lncRNA from 1 species